UAGGCUUUAGUGAUUGCUGGGGCGUGUGGGAGCAUGUUUGGAGUUGCUCCCUGGGUGGAGGAAGUUCUAGCUGGAAAAGUUGGUGGGUAGGUAGAAGCUACAGCAAAGUAGGACAGGAAUCCAGGGAAAUAGCAACAGGUUCUUGGAGCAAGCAGACCAUAGCUGCUCUUUGUGAAAGGUCCCUGGGCUGGAAACUGGAGUAGUGGACAGGCCUGGGUUCCCCUUCCAGCCCUUGGGAAAGUGGAAGACUGUCUGGGGGGGAGCAUAAGGACAGCUGUCACAACAGGACUUGGAAACCGCAGCAGGGCUGGACUGUGCUGUGACCCGGCUGGAGGGCUGAGUCACCAGGAGGAAAUGCCCAGAGUCCCAGAGACGGUGUGGUGCUGUGGUGAGCGCAUGAUGAUGGAAAGGGGGCUUCAGACUGGCCGGAACUAAUCCCCAGCGCUGCUAGUGAGUGUGUCCUGUGACAUGAUGCUAAAGUGAAGUUGCGGCCUGAGGGUCAGCUCCCCUCAAUCCAUCCACAACUUCCACAGCGGUUAAUGGAAGUGCUACAAGCUGAACAGGCCUGAUAGAGCUCCUUAAAGUCAGUCACAAGGUGUUUCCCUGAAGACAGCAUGUUUGCUCCCUGAGAGUAUCUGCUCCCUGCUGCACCCUGUUUACAAUGGUGGCAUCAAUUCCGUUGUCUUAUGGAGUCCCUUGGGAUUUGUGGCUGAGAGGAGGAUACAGCCCAAGGACAUGAGGCUGUCAGAGCAGGGAAGUAUCUGAAACAUGCAUGUUGCAGGGUCUUCUUAUCCCAACACCACAUCUGCAAUUAAAAUUGCUAGAGAAAUAGUUGUUGGCUUUUGCUCGAACUCCUCCUUGCAUAGUCUCAUGGAAGGGGUGUUUCUCUUGUUCUUGCUGCAGACGUCAGUGUGAGGUGCUCGUCUCUUCCUUGCUUGGCUAAACAGCCGAAAUAACACGCAGAGAUGUUAAGUGGCUCCUUGGUAUAUUUUGCCUGAGGUCAGUGCAAGUUCCUUUUAUUGGAGAAGCUUCCCCAAGGCCCUGUUAAAGCAUUUACCCACCCUUCAGUGAGUCAGUUUCCAUGUAACUGAUGAUUAUCCUGGCUACAUAAGUGCUCAGAGCAUCUCUCCCAUCUGUGAUUGGACAAAAGGCUCUCAACAGUCUGCGAGAAGGGCAGUACGACUAGUUUAUGGCUGAAUCCCCUUGGGCUUUUCACUGAAACUGGACUGGUGGUGGAAGUGCAGGUGAGAAUUCCCUAGGGAUUAGCAAGGCUCUGCCCCCUAGGUAGAGAAUGGAUGACUAUUCUUAAACACAUCCAGAUGAAAAGUUGACUCAGCACCUAUGUACACCAAGUGCAGGAUCAAGCCCUUAAUAGAAAGCUCCUGAUUGCAGAUGCUAACACAUGGACACCAGGAAAAAGGACCCAGGUGAAGAAAUCUGCCUGAAGCACCCAUCUGGAGAGUUACUGUAGUCUUAUGCUGCUAAUUCUUUGCCUUCCCUCAAGUAUCCUACCAAUAUUCAUUAGCUAAGACUCACAAGAAGGUAGGUGAGCAUUGUUGCUGGUACUGAGUCUAGUGGUACAAGUACAUACUUGAGAGACAAGAAUUCCAGUUUCCUAGGACGGUCUCCAUCACAGAUUCAGAGUCUGGCCUUAAGCAAGUGAACUGCAGCCAACUUUUGAAAAGCAGAACAGAAAUCUUUGAAUUAUUCAACUUUGGAUCCUUUGCAUUUGAUUUCCCAAGGUGCUGAGUGGCUGGAGCUGCAGCUGAUUGGCACCUCUAAAAAUCAGAUGCAAGCUGCAUCAGGGCAAGCAUGCAAAAUGCAGGUGCUCAGAAUCAGUGGUAGCCCUUGAGUGGAUUUGGAGGAUGAGCUGGAUCUGGGAACUUCACUACACAAUGCCUGGUGCAACACGAUCAAUUGUGGCAUCUCUGGCUGGUGCAUUGGUCCCUAAUAAUGUGUUUUGAAUGUGGCCUUAACUUCUGUCUGCAGUGUCUGCUUUGCUGUCUUUAAAAUGGGUGUGGGGGGUGUGUGAUUACCAAUACUAUCUCCCAGAAGUGGUGUGGCAAUUAAUCAUUCACUAUAUAAAGCAAUGACUAUUAUUCAUAGAUUCCAAGGCCAGGCCAGAAGGGUUCACUGUGAUCAUAUCUCCAUUUUACAGAGGAUACAUUGGAGUGCAAUGAGAUGAAGUGACCUGCAUUCAAUUGUGCAGUCACUACUGAGGUCAGGCACAAGUCCAGCCUUGUAGUUCUAAGCUCCAGACGCUGCACACGAACCUUCCCUGAUUCCUCUCAUUUGCAGUCAUUUUGUCAGGGGUGGCUCCAGGCCCCAGCAUGCCAAGCGUGUGCUUGGGGCAGCAUGC